UUGAACGCUGGCGGCAGGCCUAACACAUGCAAGUCGAACGGUAACAGGAAACAGCUUGCUGUUUCGCUGACGAGUGGCGGACGGGUGAGUACUGUCUGGGAAACUGCCUGAUGGAGGGGGAUAACUACUGGAAACGGUAGCUAAUACCGCAUAACGUCGCAAGACCAAAGAGGGGGACCCUCGGGCCUCUUGCCAUCGGAUGUGCCCAGAUGGGAUUAGCUUGUUGGUGGGGUAACGGCUCACCAAGGCGACGAUCCCUAGCUGGUCUGAGAGGAUGACCAGCCACACUGGAACUGAGACACGGUCCAGACUCCUACGGGAGGCAGCAGUGGGGAAUAUUGCACAAUGGGCGCAAGCCUGAUGCAGCCAUGCCGCGUGUAUGAAGAAGGCCUUCGGGUUGUAAAGUACUUUCAGCGGGGAGGAAGGGAGUAAAGUUAAUACCUUUGCUCAUUGACGUUACCCGCAGAAGAAGCACCGGCUAACUCCGUG
rnacentral:rRNA from 1 species